CCGCCUUGCGGCGUGGUGAGAGGUG
rnacentral:piRNA from 1 species